rnacentral:lncRNA from 12 species
CCGGUCCGCCACUGACCGGAACUGAGCGCCGCGGGGCCCCCUCCCUCGCGUGCCCGCGGCCUGCGCUCGGCCCGCCCGCGCGCCCUCUGCCCGGAGCCCCCGGCCGGCUCGCAGGCGACGUCGGACCCGCGCGGGCACCCCGAGCGCCUGCGGAGCUGCGGCCGCCCCGGCCUUCGGAGGCCGAGCGCGGCGAGGACAACGCCAGAGGGCGGCGGGCGGCGGCUGCCCUUGGUUGCACCCGAGUCCUCGAGCGUCCCCUCCCUAGGGCUUCGGAGGGGCCGGAGUGCCUGAGCCCCCUCGCCCCUCGCCCCUCGCCAGGGCGCAGACACGGGGAGGGGCUGCGGGAGUCGCAGAGGCGCCGGGAUGCCCGGCGGAGCGGCCUCGCCGAGGGGUGCACCCGACGCCCCCGUGACUGAGACCCGGUGCCGGGUCCGAGACGAGGGAGCCUCUGGCCGGCAGAGGACCGGGGGACGCUGCGCCCCAGGCGCGGUCCCCGGGAAGCGGUAGGGGUUCGGCUCGCCGUGUCCCCUUUGGAUUCGUGGGUCCCGGACUUGCCGCGGGCCCCCGCGGUGGCCAGGCCCGAGCGCGAAGCGUCUGGGGCGCGGGGGCACCUACCCGGGCGCCCCCGGGGCCCAGCGAGCGCUGCGAACGGGAGCGCACCCACGGGACCCCACCCCCAACCGCCGAGUCGGAGCGAUUACGGCUGGAGCCUGGUGGGGAAGGCGGCUGAUUUCACUUCUGGAAAAACGCUUAAAGCACAGCAACCCCCAGCCAACGUUAGCAAACCAGUUGACCUGCUGUUGGAGGUUGUGCGAGGGCGGGCGCGGCUGCCAGGGAGGGGAAGCCGCUGGGGAGUGGGCAGAGGCAAGCGAGGCGAACGUCAGACACGAGAGGGAGGGACAAGGGGGGCACCGAGGCCGCGUGGGCAGCCAAGGGACGCGGGGCGGGGCGGGGUCUCCUUGCUCGCAUCCCUCCCCUCCCGGGCCCAACGAACCCGGUGCCCAGGACCGCGCGGUACGUGCACACCUGGCACCCGCGAGUCGCCAUCUGCUCCGGGCUCACCGCCUCCGGGGUAG